rnacentral:rRNA from 1 species
GUGUCAGCAGCCGCGGUAAUACGGAGGGGGCUAGCGUUGUUCGGAAUUACUGGGCGUAAAGCGCACGUAGGCGGCUUUGUAAGUUAGAGGUGAAAGCCCAGGGCUCAACCCUGGAAUUGCCUUUAAGACUGCAUCGCUUGAACAUCGGAGAGGUAAGUGGAAUUCCGAGUGUAGAGGUGAAAUUCGUAGAUAUUCGGAAGAACACCAGUGGCGAAGGCGACUUACUGGACGAUUGUUGACGCUGAGGUGCGAAAGCGUGGGGAGCAAACAGGAUUAGAAACCCGCGUAGUCC